GUGCUCACUUCAACAGCACAUAUACUAGAAUUGCAGCAAUGCAGAGGAGAUGAGCAUGGCCCCUAUGGAAGGAUGACACGCAAAUUCAUAGUGUUCCGUAUUUUC
ensembl:snRNA U6 U6 spliceosomal RNA